UACGUGGGGGGCAAGCGUUGUCCGGAAUCAUUGGGCGUAAAGCGCGCGUAGGCGGCCCGGUAAGUCCGUUGUGAAAGUCAAGGGCUCAACCUUUGAAUGCCGAUGGAUACUGCCGGGCUAGAGUCCGGAAGAGGCGAGUGGAAUUCCUGGUGUAGCGGUGGAAUGCGCAGAUAUCAGGAGGAACACCGAUAGCGAAGGCAGCUCGCUGGGACGGUACUGACGCUGAGGCGCGAAAGCGUGGGGAGCGAACAGG
rnacentral:rRNA from 1 species